CUCUUUUGCAUCUACCGGAAGUGGCUGAGUAUGAGACCGGAAGUGACGUCUCUCUUUUUUUUCCCCUCGCUUUAGGGGUGAGAGGAGUAUGGAGACUAUCCGGAGCCAUCCUCAUGGUCGGGGCGGCGGAGGCUUCUCCUCUCAUGUGAUGUGGUUUUCGCCAUUGCAUUGUGUGACCAGUCACCUGGAGCAGCAUCAGAGGUCUCCCUGAUCAUAAUGGGCGCCAUCUACCUUAGGCGAGAGGCUGCGGACCCCCGGGCAGGUCUCCCUGAUCAUAAUGGGCGCUGUCUACAUGAGGCGAGAGGCUGCGGACCCCCCGGCAGGUCUCCCUGAUCAUAAUGGGCGCUGUCUACAUGAGGCGAGAGGCUGCGGACCCCACGGCAGGUCUCAGCUAUACCAAUGGAUGCCGGAUCGCUGAUUAAAGGGACAGAAACCUUCACAACAGGUGCGUAACGAAGGGAGGCAGAGAAAAAGAUGGAGGACUUUUGGUUUUGCCUCAUGUGCAAUGUACCAAUGACUUCUAUCAUACACAAGUAAUGUAAUGUAUGUACACAGUGACCUCACCAGCAGAAUAGUGAGUACAGCUCUGGAGUAUAAUACAGGAUAUAACUCAGGAUCAGUACAGGAUAAGUAACGUAAUGUAUGUACACAGUGACCUCACCAGCAGAAUAGUGAGUACAGCUCUGGAGUAUAAUACAGGAUAUAACUCAGGAUCAGUACAGGAUAAGUAAUGUAAUGUAUGUACACAGUGACCUCACCAGCAGAAUAGUGAGUGCAGCUCUGGAGUAUAAUACAGGAUAUAACUCAGGAUCAGUACAGGAUAAGUAAUGUAUGUACAGUGACCCCACCAGCAGAAUAGAAUAUAACUCGGGAUCAGUACAGGAUAAGUAAUGUAUGUACAGUGACCCCACCAGCAGAAUAGUGAGUGCAGGUGUGGAGUAUAAUACAGGAUAUAACUCAGGAUCAGUACAGGAUAAGUAAUGUAAUGUAUGUACACAGUGAUCUCACCAGCAGAAUAGUGAGUACAGCUCUGGAGUAUAAUACAGGAUAUAACUCAGGAUCAGUACAGGAUAAGUAAUGUAAUGUAUGUACACAGUGACCCCACCAGCAGAAUAGUGAGUACAGCUCUGGAGUAUAAUACAGGAUAUAACUCGGGAUCAGUACAGGAUAAGUAAUGUAAUGUAUGUACACAGUGACCUCACCAGCAGAAUAGUGAGUACAGCUCUGGAGUAUAAUACAGGAUAUAACUCAGGAUCAGUACAGGAUAAGUAAUGUAUGUACAGUGACAUUCUAUCAUGUAUUACAGAACAAUGACUCUGCCAGGAUGAAGACUUGAGGCCGGAUAGUUUCUGAUGGUCCAGUGGAGUGAAGCUGUUGAGGAGUCCAGUGGGCGGUCCUAAUAGGUGAUUGCCAGCCCUCCCAGUAUGAAUGCGCAAACCUCAGCGACCGGACGACAUGUGUGGGACUGCGACAUGGACAGAGGCUGCAGAUACCGCUGCAUAUCUACUUUUAUUAUGCAGGAGAGAAAUCAUAAUCUCAAUAAAAUAUUGUGUAUGCAUUUUUAUUUUAUUUUUUUAAGGAACUCGAGGGUCAACAUAAUUAUGAAAUGACAAAGCAAAUUGUGGAAAAGUAUUAUACAACUGUUCAGGAAAAAUAAAAAAUGAAAAUGCUAGAAGAUGAAUCGGA